AUAGGUCUGGGAGAGGUGACUGCCGAGGCGGCCAUCCUGCUUGGCCAGCUGAAGGUUUGAGACUCAGGAUGGGGUCAUGGCUGAGACUAUGAGGGCUGCUCGUGCAUGACCCUGCCUGCUGGCCUCCAUGGGCCCACUAUCUGAAUGUGGUUACCCUUCUCCCCAGGACCAGGUGCCACCUCCUCUGGGAAGCUUUCCCUGCCCGUCCACAGGGUAUGCCUCCUUGUUCCUCUCCUGCCAUCGGUUUACGUGCCUGUCUCCAUCAACAGACCAGGAGCUCCUGAGGACAGGGACUGAGUCUGCCUGAUUCAUCUCUGCAUUCCUAGCACUUACCUUGGUGCUUAGUGAAAGCUCGAACCUGCCUGGGUUCCCACCUUGUCUCUGCUACCCCCAGCUCUGUGAACUCAGGCUGGAGUGCAAUGGCGUGAUCUCGGCUCACUGCAACCUCUGCCUCCCAGGUUCAAGCAAUUCUCCUGCCUCAGCCUCCCGAGUAGCUGGGAUUAUAGGCAUGCACCACCACGCCCAGAGCCAACUACUAAGCCUGUAGCAGCCUCCCAAACUGCCCAGUCUUGUUCAGAUGCACCUCCAGAAACACAGGGGUCCAAAAUGCCCCUUCCCAGACACCCUGAGGAGUAGAACAGUGCCAGCAGGCUCCAGGGAUGAGGGACUAGCUACCACAUUCCCUUUCCCAAGCCUCAGUUUCCCCACCUGUAAGAUGAGGGAUAUGGGCUCUGACUUUCUGAGUUUGGAAAAUAAAGUGCUCCCCAAACUGGG
ensembl:lncRNA LINC02517 long intergenic non-protein coding RNA 2517